UACGUAGGGGGCAAGCGUUGUCCGGAAUCAUUGGGCGUAAAGCGCACGUAGGUGGCCUGUUAAGUCGGGUGUGAAAUCCCUGGGCUCAACCCAGGAAGUGCACUCGAAACUGGCGGGCUUGAGUACUGAAGAGGGUCGCGGAAUUCCCGGUGUAGAGGUGAAAUUCGUAGAUAUCGGGAGGAACACCAGUGGCGAAGGCGGCGACCUGGGCAGAUACUGACACUGAGGUGCGAAAGCGUGGGGAGCAAACAGG
rnacentral:rRNA from 1 species